CACAUGCAAGUCGAGCGCACUCUUUUAGAGUGAGCGGCAAACGGGUGAGUAACGCGUGGGAAUCUACCCAUCUCUACGGAAUAACACAGAGAAAUUUGUGCUAAUACCGUAUACGUCCUUAGGGAGAAAGAUUUAUCGGAGAUGGAUGAGCCCGCGUUGGAUUAGCUAGUUGGUGAGGUAACGGCUCACCAAGGCGACGAUCCAUAGCUGGUCUGAGAGGAUGAUCAGCCACACUGGGACUGAGACACGGCCCAGACUCCUACGGGAGGCAGCAGUGGGGAAUAUUGGACAAUGGGGGCAACCCUGAUCCAGCCAUGCCGCGUGAGUGAUGAAGGCCCUAGGGUUGUAAAGCUCUUUCACCGGUGAAGAUAAUGACGGUAACCGGAGAAGAAGCCCCGGCUAACUUCGUGCCAGCAGCCGCGGUAAUACGAAGGGGGCUAGCGUUGUU
rnacentral:rRNA from 1 species